AGGUGGAGCAGAUCCCUAAAAGACCAUCCCAAUUCGGAUUGCAGGCUGCAACCCGCCUGUAUGAAGUUGGAAUCGCUAGUAAUCGCGGAUCAGCAUGCCGCGGUGAAUACGUUCCCGGGCCUUGUACACACCGCCCGUCACACCAUGAGAGCCGGGGGCGCCUGAAGUCCGGGACCGCGAGGACCGGCCUAGGGCGAAACUGGUAACUGGGGCUAAGUCGUAACAAGGUACC
rnacentral:rRNA from 1 species